rnacentral:rRNA from 1 species
UCCAGACUCCUACGGGAGGCAGCAGUAAGGGAUAUUGGUCAAUGGGGGAAACCCUGAACCAGCAACGCCGCGUGAGGGAAGACGGUUUUCGGAUUGUAAACCUCUGUCCUCUGUGAAGAUGAUGACGGUAGCAGAGGAGGAAGCUCCGGCUAACUACGUGCCAGCAGCCGCGGUAAUACGUAGGGGGCAAGCGUUAUCCGGAUUUACUGGGUGUAAAGGGAGCGUAGACGGCAGUGCAAGUCCGGAGUGAAAGCCCGGGGCUCAACCCUGGGACUGCUCUGGAAACUGUAAAGCUGGAGUGCGGGAGGGGCAGGCGGAAUUCCUGGUGUAGCGGUGAAAUGCGUAGAUAUCAGGAGGAACACCGGCGGCGAAGGCGGCCUGCUGGACCGUAACUGACGUUGAGGCUCGAAAGCGUGGGGAGCAAACAGGAUUAGAUACCCUAGUA